rfam:Xiphophorus maculatus strain JP 163 A Contig5471.1, whole genome shotgun sequence.
CAAAAGGCUCUUUUUAGAGCCUCCAUUUAUUCUCUGUAGAGCAAAU